GUUAAAAAGCUCGUAGUUGGAUCAGAGUUGGACAGUGCACGGUGGCCCCAUUUGUGUGGCUGGCUCCGGUCAGUUACACGGUGGCGGAACAACCCCGUGCGCCAAACUGUCCACUCUAACAGACCGAAGCGGUUCCCUGUGAGUAGGCUCCUUAAUUGGGGCUGAAAGCGCCUACGCAUCAACCAUAUGCAUACGGGACGUCGGUCAAAGUUACUGUGAAUAAACCAGCGUGUCCAAGGCAGGCUUUCGCCUGAAUGUUCGAGCAUGGAAUAACAAGGGAUCGAUUCUCUCGGUUCUUUUUGUUGGUUUUUAACCCGAGAAGGAGAAAUUCAGGCCACGGUGUCUGAGUUGGGUUUCCCAGGGCUUCGGCUCUGGCCCCAAUUAGGCCGUGUCCUUACGGGAUCAAUAGGGACUGACGGGGUCGUACCUACUUCCGCGUCAGAGGUGAGAUUCUUA
rnacentral:rRNA from 1 species